CACGUAGGGUGCGAGCGUUGUCCGGAAUUAUUGGGCGUAAAGAGCUCGUAGGCGGUGUGUCGCGUCGGCCGUGAAAACCUGCAGCUUAACUGUGGGCUUGCGGUCGAUACGGGCAUCACUGGAGUUCGGCAGGGGAGACUGGAAUUCCUGGUGUAGCGGUGAAAUGCGCAGAUAUCAGGAGGAACACCGGUGGCGAAGGCGGGUCUCUGGGCAUUAACUGACGCUGAGGAGCGAAAGCAUGGGGGAGCGAACAGG
rnacentral:rRNA from 1 species